rnacentral:rRNA from 1 species
AUUGAACGCUGGCGGCAUGCUUUACACAUGCAAGUCGAACGAGUGGCGCACGGGUGAGUAAUACAUCGGAACGUGUCCUUUCGUGGGGGAUAACUGAACGAAAGAACAGCUAAUACCGUAUCCGAUUCGAGCGGCCGAUGCCCGGUUAGCUAGUUGGUGAGGGAAAGGCUCACCAAGGCGACGAUCGGUAGCUGGUCUGAGAGGGCGACCCGCCACCCUGGGACUGAGACACGGCCCGGACUCCUUCGGGAGGCAGCAGGGGGGGAGGUUGGACAAUGGGGGCAACCCUGAUCCAGCCAUGCCGGGUGCAGGAUGAAGGUCUUCGGAUUGUAAACUGCUUUUGUCAGGGAAGCGGUACCUGAAGAAUAAGCACCGGCUAACUACGUGCCAGCAGCCGCGGUAAUAC